CAGCAGCCACGGGAAUACGAAGGGUGCAAGCGUUAUCCGGAAUGAUUGGGCGUAAAGCGUCUGUAGGUGGCUUUUCAAGUCCGCCGUCAAAUCCCAGGGCUCAACCCUGGACAGGCGGUGGAAACUACCGAGCUGGAGUACGGUAGGGGCAGAGGGAAUUUCCGGUGGAGCGGUGAAAUGCGUUGAGAUCGGAAAGGACACCAACGGCGAAAGCACUCUGCUGGGCCGACACUGACACUGAGAGACGAAAGCUAGGGGAGCAAAUGGGAUUAGAUACCCGUGUAGUCCCUGUCUCUUAUAC
rnacentral:rRNA from 1 species